rnacentral:rRNA from 1 species
CCUACGGGUGGCAGCAGUGAGGAAUAUUGGUCAAUGGGCGGGAGCCUGAACCAGCCAAGUCGCGUGAGGGACGACGGUCCUAUGGAUUGUAAACCUCUUUUGUCGGGGAACAAAGGCGUCCACGGGUGGGCGGAUGAGUGUACCCGAAGAAAAAGCAUCGGCUAACUCCGGGCCAGCAGCCGCGGUAAUACGGAGGAUGCGAGCGUUAUCCGGAUUUAUUGGGUUUAAAGGGUGCGUAGGCGGACAGUCAAGUCAGCGGUAAAAUUGCGGGGCUCAACCUCGUCGAGCCGUUGAAACUGGGUGCCUUGAGUGGGCGAGAAGUACGCGGAAUGCGUGGUGUAGCGGUGAAAUGCAUAGAUAUCACGCAGAACUCCGAUUGCGAAGGCAGCGUACCGGCGCCCAACUGACGCUGAAGCACGAAGGCGUGGGUAUCGAACAGGAUUAGAUACCCCAGUAGUA